UCAUCUCUGAAAGUCCUGGAAAUAAUCAUUUUGACCUGCUUCAUACCAUGCUGGAAAUUCUAGUUAGGACUCAUUGCUUAAUUUGCAUUUGUUGAGGCUAAGUUUGUGUGAAUUUCUGAUUUUAGUCAUGUUUUCAUCUCCUUUCUUGCUUUUAAGCUUUAUUGAGUUUUUGUAAUUGGGUCACUUCUAUAAGUCUUGCACUAGUUGAUUAGUGCCCUCUCCUGGUCGAUUUCAUCCAUUUGUUUUGACAUAAAGAUGC
rnacentral:lncRNA from 1 species